GGGGAGGUGGCAGAGUGGUCGAAUGCGGCGGUCUUGAAAACCGUUGAACGUGAGAGCGUUCCCGGGGUUCGAAUCCCCGUCUCCCCGCCA
rnacentral:tRNA from 3 species